UAUAAACCGUUAUUUCCAUCAAGUAUUAAGAUCUGUGAUACAACUAGAAGAGACGUUUCUGAAACAACCUGAUGGAUCUCAAACUUCAGUAGAAAUACUCAAUAGUUCUAGGUUCUUCCCAUAUUUUAAGGAUUGCAUUGGGGCAAUUGAUGGAAUGCACAUUCGGGCAAAAGUUCCUAUUGAAGAUGCACCAAGAUAUCGUGGUAGAAAGGACUACCCAACACAAAAUGUGCUAGCGGCAUGUACAUUUGAUUUAAAAUUUACAUAUGUUUUGCCUGAAUGGGAAGGAACUGCGUUAGACUCAAGAAUUUUAAAAAAUGCAUUAAGUAGACGCAAUAAGCUAAAUGUCCCCCAAGGUAAUUUUGUUAGAAAAAAAAAAAUUAGCCAUUAGUGUAUAACAACAUAAUGAUGCAUGUCAUUCCUAUAGGUAAAUAUUACCUUGUUGAUGCUAGAUUCAUGUUGAGGAGCUCACUUCUUGCACCUUAUAGAGGAGUCCAUUAUCACUUAAAAGAGUAUUCAAGAAAUCCACCGCAAAAUCCUAAAGAGUUAUUCAACCUUCAACAUGCAUCCUUACACAAUGUGAUUGAAAGAGCAUUUGGAGUCUUGAAGAAAAGGUUUCCUAUAAUAGCAAGCUCAAAUGAGCCGUCUUACGGAGUUCCAACCCAAAAAUAAUAAUUUUAGCAUGCUGCAUUUUGCACAAUUACUUGAUUGGUGCAGAUCCGGAUGAUAGAAUUCUUCAUGAGGUGGACGAAGAAAUUUUAAACAAUCUUAAACCCCAUGAACAGCUUAGUGCGCAAAGAGAGAGAAAUAAUGAUGAUGCUGCCUAAUGAGAGAUUUUAAGAAACUCAAUAGCAACUGAUAUGUGGAGGGAUUAUAAAUCCAACCCAACUUGAUGUUAUUCUAAAUUUAAUAAUUGUAGACAAAUGCUUCUAGUGGAUUUAGAACUAUGUCUUUGUUUUAAUGGGCUGAUUCUCAUUAGAAUUGUUUUAUUAUUUAAUUCUCUUUUUAUGGACUUAGCAUUUUGUAUAUGAUACAUUUAAUUUGCUUGGGAUAAACUAUUGAAUGAGUUUUGAUUGUGACU